UAAAUAUCUGAUGAAAGAAUCAUAGAAUCAGGGAAGAAGCCCAGUUCCAAGAGUCUGUAGUGGGCGAAUACAAAGUGUGGACUUUCUCUGACUCUCUCCAAGUUUGCCCGCUAUGAUCAGACUGGGUCCUUUCUGAGGCUGAGCUUGCAGAAAGGAAUUCAGCCAAGGAGACAGGAGUGAACACCAGGCAGGGCCCGGAAGCAUUCAUCACUGUGGACAGGCGAGCACAGGUAACCAUCAACUUUUAGUGGAAGAGCAUCCAUGGCUACUCACAGCAUGGGAAGACAAGUUUUAGGUCCCAGAUGAUCAGCUGAGCUGGUGAGGAGUCAGGGAGGUGUCUGAGCUGGAAAUGGAAGCAGAUGUACGUGUGUAAAUUGCACUUACAUAAAAGUUGCUUCGUUAACAUGGCACCAAACCUUCUAGUUGUAACGUUGGGUCAAAAAAAUAGCUUAGACGGCAAGCCAUGUAGACAGAUCCUUGCUUUCCUAAAUUUCUGUCUCCUUCUUUUUAUUAGAUUAUCCCCUGAGCAUGAUACUUGAAGAGAUACUGCCCAUCAAACAAAUGGCAUCUUAAGUAACUACUGUCUCAUGGUGAUUAGAGACACAGAACUGCCCAUCAAGUUUCUCCCUGCCAAGAAAUGCCAUGUGGAGUUGCUCUAUUCGAGCCAAAAGCACAUGAGAUUAAAUUCCUUGGCAGACCACUGUUCCGAUCAACAGGGACAUGUCCCCGAGGUACUCCUGCCUGUGGUCCCUGGCUGCCAAUUGGUCAUUCCCGUAUCCUGGACUGCCUUCCUCCUCCCUGCUGCCCACAGCCUAUCAGCUCACCCACGCUGGGCCCUAUAGGCAUGGGGAGGCAGGUUUUCUGAAGAUCGUGGAAACACCUUUGGCCAAGAGACCGGUGAGACCUGAGUGCUGAUUCCUGGCAAACGGAAAGGACUGCGUUGGGAGGCAGGUUCACCAGGCCUUGCCUCAGCUCCUGCAUGAAAUUCACUUAACUGUCAGUCCUCAGUUUCCCCACCCAGGAUCGAAUGCUCUGGAUACAUGCAAUCUCCCUCCUACAUGGUCCCUGCUCCUCGACAGUUGAACGUGGCUAGAGAGAAGCAGAUGGGCCACACUGAUUGGUCUCGCUUUCAAUUUAUUGCUGCAAAUUUCUAGUGGGCACUCAGCACUGUCUAGAAGCCCUAACCUCUCCCCAGACUAUUGUGCUCUCCUCUUCCAGACGACUAUUGCCCCCUUCUCCUCUCCCCUCAAACCUUCAACCCCCUCCUCUUGCUCUCAUUACUCUCAGCUAAUACAAUACUCUUUAUUUCACUGAAAAAAAAAAAAUAGAAGCAUCAAAAGAGAACCACCUUUUCAUCCUGUCGCCAAUCAACCAAUCCACCCACAUCUGCGUCACCUUCUCUGCCUCCCCUGCUCCCUCACCCCCUCCUCUAGGGUGACCAACCACCUCAGGUUGCUUGGAUCUGAGGGUUUUGCUGGGAGGUGGGCCUUUUGGUACAAACAACAGGCAAGUCUUGGGCAAACCGGGAUGAGUUGCUCUCGCC
rnacentral:lncRNA from 1 species